CUCAUGUAUAACCAUGUUCACGUCUCUCUCCCCUGAAAUACUAUCAGCCCAAUGGGGUCCAAUAAUUUCUUUACUAUUAAAUCCUGAGUGUAAGCACAGGGCCUAGCACAUAAGGGGUGGUCAAAAAAUGUGGUUUGAAUGGAUGACUGAACCCAGUGGCUUCCACAGCCUUUCAGUCCCUCCCCUCUUAAAUCCUGUUUCUCUGCACACAAAAGUCUUGAUGGUGGCUGAGGCAUCCUGGCAGAUAGCUGACUUCAUUCUCACAGUAGUCUGCUUCAGACCUAUUUCUCUGUUAGGUGAACAAGAUCCUGCGGGUCCCUGAUCAGCACUGCAGACUUCCUGCAGCUGCAACAUCUCAAGAGUGGUGAGGUGGAGUCUGUUCCUGGGGCAUCCUGCCAUGUCCCCUGCAAAAUAGAAGGGCAAGGGUUAUGUAGCUCAUGUCAGGAGCUCCUCACUGUGCUGUCAUAGCAAGGCCCCCAGGUGAGCUGGCACAGGUGGUAGAAUCAAGAGUGAAGAGGAGCAGAAACAGACAUGAGCUAAAAGCCUGUCCUGCCCCUUGUUCCAUAUUCCAGGUGCUCUCCAAGUCCUUGGCGAGCUGUUUAGGUAGCAGGCUCUAUAAUGGCUUUCAAAGUAACGGGGCAGCGAUGCAGAGAGAGUGAAGAGACUUGCCAGACAGAAAAGGCGGGGAAAAGGUCCGAACAGUUUUCACACCUCAGCCCAAGAGAUACUAAACUACAAAGAGCCAGUGUAAGCUGAGAUGGUUUCAAAUCCCAGUUGGCCACUUAUGAGAUUCCCGCCUUGAGUAUGGACAAGAGUCACCCACUUCACAGGGAGGAGGGAUUAAGGGGGGAAGCCCUUGUGUAACACGGGCUCAAGGCGAACACUCAAAGACUCAAUGAACGGUAGUUUCUGUUAUUACUGUCACUGAACACGUUGAUUGACUGUGACACAAAUUCCACCUCUUUACCCAGAAUCUCCCACCUGUGAGCUUAGUGAGGCCCAGUCUCAGCAGCCAGUGUGAUUCUCCGAGCACCAGGGCCGGUGGACUUCACCUUCUCCAGUCACAGAUGGGGCUACCAAGUCACAUAGGAGUCUGCUCGGGCUUCCAUAAGAAAAUACCACUGCCUCAGUGGCUUCAACAGCAGAAAUUUAUUUUUCCACAGUUCAGGAGGCUGGAAGUUCAAAAUCAAGGUGUUGGCAGAUUUGUUUGCUCUUGAGGCCUUUCUCCUUGGCUUGGG
rnacentral:lncRNA from 1 species